rnacentral:rRNA from 1 species
AUUGAACGCUGGCGGCAGGCUUAACACAUGCAAGUCGAGCGAGCGGCGGACGGGUGAGUAAUGUCUGGGAAACUGCCUGAUGGAGGGGGAUAACUACUGGAAACGGUAGCUAAUACCGCAUACCAUCAGCUGUGCCCAGAUUGGAUUGGCUUGUUGGUGGGGUAAUGGCUCACCUAGGCGACGAUCCCUAGCUGGUCUGUGAGGAUGACAAGCCACACUGGAACUGAGACACGGUCCAGUCUCCUACGGGAGGCAGCAGGGGGGAAUUUUGCAAAAAGGGCGGAAGCCUGAUGCAGCCAUGCCGCGGGUGUGAAGGAGGCCUUCGGGUUGUAAAGCACUUUCAGCGGGGGAGCGUUACUCGCAGAAGAAGCACCGGCUAACUCCGUGCCAGCCGGCGCGGUAAUAC